rnacentral:rRNA from 1 species
GACGAACGCUGGCGGCGUGCCUAAUACAUGCAAGUUGAGCGCUGAAGGUUGGUACUUGUACCAACUGGAUGAGCAGCGAACGGGUGAGUAACGCGUGGGGAAUCUGCCUUUGAGCGGGGGACAACAUUUGGAAACGAAUGCUAAUACCGCAUAAAAACUUUAAACACAAGUUUUAAGUUUGAAAGAUGCAAUUGCAUCACUCAAAGAUGAUCCCGCGUUGUAUUAGCUAGUUGGUGAGGUAAAGGCUCACCAAGGCGAUGAUACAUAGCCGACCUGAGAGGGGAAGAGGCCACAUUGGGACGGGGAGACGACCCAAAAUACUACGGGAGGCAGAAGUAGGGAAUCUUCGGCAAUGGACGAAAGUCUGACCGAGCAACGCCGCGUGAGUGAAGAAGGUUUUCGGAUCGUAAAACUCUGUUGGUAGAGAAGAACGUUGGUGAGAGUGGAAAGCGCAUAAAGUGACGGUAACUACCCAGAAAGGGACGGCUAACUACGUG